UACAGAGGUCUCAAGCGUUGUUCGGAUUCAUUGGGCGUAAAGGGUGUGUAGGUGGCGCCGUAAGUCGGGUGUGAAAUUUCGGAGCUUAACUCCGAAACUGCAUUCGAUACUGCGGUGCUUUGAGGACUGGAGAGGAGACUGGAAUUCAUGGUGUAGCAGUGAAAAUGCGUAGAGAUCAUGAGGAAGACCAGUGGCGAAGGCGGGUCUCUGGACAGUUCCUGACACUGAGGCACGAAGGCCAGGGGAGCAAACGGG
rnacentral:rRNA from 1 species